GACGAACGCUGGCGGCGUGCCUAAAACAUGCAAGUCGAACGAGGUCCAUCCAGUGGCAACACUGGUGAAGACCUAGUGGCGAACGGGUGAGUAACACGUGAGGAACCUGCCCCGAAGACCGGGAUAACCCUCCGAAAGGAGAGCUAAUACCGGAUACCCCCACCAGAUCGCAUGGUCAGGUGAGGAAAUGCAUUGUGCUUCGGGAGGGCCUCGCGGCCUAUCAGCUUGUUGGUGGGGUAACGGCCCACCAAGGCGUCGACGGGUAGCUGGUCUGAGAGGACGAUCAGCCACACUGGGACUGAGACACGGCCCAGACUCCUACGGGAGGCAGCAGUUAGGAAUCUUGCGCAAUGGGCGAAAGCCUGACGCAGCAACGCCGCGUGGGGGAUGAAGGCCCUCGGGUUGUAAACCCCUUUCAGUCGGGACGAAAAUGACGGUACCGACAGAAGAAGCCCCGGCCAACUACGUGCCAGCCGCCGCAGUAACAC
rnacentral:rRNA from 1 species